GAUGAAGAACGUAGCGAAAUGCGAUAGGUAAUGUGAAUUGCAGAAUUCAGUGAAUCAUCGAAUCUUUGAACGCACAUUGCGCCCUCUGGUAUUCCGGGGGGCAUGCCUGUUCGAGCGUCAUUACAACCCUCAAGCUCUGCUUGGUAUUGGGCUCUGCCGGUCCUGGCAGGCCUCAAAGUCAGUGGCGGUGCCAUCCGGCUCCAAGCGUAGUAAUUCUUCUCGCUUCGGAGGCCGCGGUGCGUGCUAGCCAGCAACCCCCAAUUUUUUUCAGGUUGACCUCGGAUCAGGUAGGGAUACCCGCUGAACUUAAGCAUAUCAAUAAGCGGAGGA
rnacentral:misc_RNA from 1 species